GGGGCCGUGGUCUAGCAAGGUAGGACGACGGGCUCCAGACCCGUUGGUCGGGGGUUCAAGUCCCCCCGGCCCCACCA
rnacentral:tRNA from 1 species